rnacentral:misc_RNA from 1 species
GAUGAAGAACGCAGCGAAAUGCGAUACGUAAUGUGAAUUGCAGAAUUCAGUGAAUCAUCGAGUCUUUGAACGCACAUUGCGCCCCCUGGUAUUCCGGGGGGCAUGCCUGUUCGAGCGUCAUUAUAACCACUCAAGCUUUCGCUUGGUAUUGGGGCUCGCGGUUCCGCGGCCCCUAAAAUCAGUGGCGGUGCCUGUCGGCUCUACGCGUAGUAAUACUCCUCGCGAUUGAGUCCGGUAGGUCUACUUGCCAGCAACCCCCAAUUUUUACAGGUUGACCUCGGAUCAGGUAGGGAUACCCGCUGAACUUAAGCAUAUCAAUAAGCGGAGGA